GAGUUUGAUCGUGGCUCAGAUUGAACGCUGGCGGCAUGCUUUACACAUGCAAGUCGAACGGGGUGAGGGGGCGAACUCUUCAUUCAGUGGCGAACGGGGUGAGUAAUGCAUCGGAACGUGUCCCGUAGUGGGGGAUAACGCCGCGAAAGCGGCGCUAAUACCGCAUAUGCUCUACGGAGGAAAGCAGGGGACCUGAAAGGGCCUUGUGCUGGGGGAGCGGCCGAUGUCCGAUUAGCUAGUUGGUGGGGUAAAGGCCUACCAAGGCAACGAUCGGUAGCUGGUCUGAGAGGAUGAUCAGCCACACUGGGACUGAGACACGGCCCAGACUCCUACGGGAGGCAGCAGUGGGGAAUUUUGGACAAUGGGGGGCAACCCUGAUCCAGCCAUGCCGCGUGCGGGAAGAAGGCCUCGGUG
rnacentral:rRNA from 1 species